rnacentral:rRNA from 1 species
AGUGAACGCUGGCGGUAGGCCUAACACAUGCAAGUCGAACGGCAGCACAGUAAUAGCUUGCUCUUACGGGUGGCGAGUGGCGGACGGGCGAGGAAUACAUCGGAAUCUACUUUUUCGUGGGGGAUAACGUAGGGAAACUUACGCUAAUACCGCAUACGACCUACGGGUGAAAGCAGGGGAUCUUCGGCCCUUGCGCGAUUGAAUGAGCCGAUGUCGGAUUAGCUAGUUGGCGGGGUAAAGGCCCACCAAGGCGACGAUCCGUAGCUGGUCUGAGAGGAUGAUCAGCCACACUGGAACUGAGACACGGUCCAGACUCCUACGGGAGGCAGCAGUGGGGAAUAUUGGACAAUGGGCGCAAGCCUGAUCCAGCCAUACCGCGUGGGUGAAGAAGGCCUUCGGGUUGUAAAGCCCUUUUGUUGGGAAAGAAAAGCAGCAGGUUAAUACCCCGCUGUUCUGACGGUACCCAAAGAAUAAGCACCGGCUAACUUCGUG